UACGAAGGGGGCUAGCGUUGUUCGGAAUUAUUGGGCGUAAAGGGCGCGUAGGCGGCUUUGCAAGUGACGGGUGAAAGCCCUCGGCUUAACCGAGGAACUGCCUGUCAGACUGUAAGGCUUGAGACCGGGAGAGGUGAGUGGAAUUCCCGGUGUAGCGGUGAAAUGCGUAGAUAUCGUAAGGAAGACCAGUGGCGAAGGCGGGUCUCUGGACAGUUCCUGACGCUGAGGCACGAAGGCCAGGGGAGCAAACGGG
rnacentral:rRNA from 1 species